UGCAAGUCGAGCGGACCUUCGGGUUAGCGGCGGACGGGUUAGUAACGCGUGGGAACGUGCCCUUCAACUCAGGAUAGCCCCGGGAAACCGGGAUUAAUACUGGAUACGCCUUUUGGGGGAAUGAAGGAUCGGCCCGCGUUAGUUUAGGUAGUUGGUGGGGUAACGGCCUACCAAGCCUGCGAUCUAUAGCUGAUUUUAGAGGAUGAUCAGCAACACUGGGACUGAGACACGGCCCAGACUCCUACGGGAGGCAGCAGUGGAGAAUCUUGGACAAUGGGCGCAAGCCUGAUCCAGCCAUGCCGCGUGAGUGAUGAAGGCCCUAGGGUCGCAAAGCUCUUUCGCCAGGGAUGAUAAUGACAGUACCUGGUAAAGAAACCCCGGCUAACUCCGUGCCAGCAGCCGCGGUAAUACGGAGGGGGUUAGCGUUGUUCGGAAUUACUGGGCGUAAAGCGCGCGUAGGCGGAUUGGAAAGUUGGGGGUGAAAUCCCGGGGCUCAACCUCGGAACUGCCUUCAAAACUCCCGGUCUAGAGUUCGAGAGAGGUGAGUGGAACUCCGAGUGUAGAGGUGAAAUUCGUGGAUAUUCGGAAGAACACCAGUGGCGAAGGCGACUCACUGGCUCGAUACUGACGCUGAGUCGCGAAAGUGUGGGGAGCAAACAGGAUUAGAUACCCUGGUAGUCCACACAGUAAACGAUGAAUGCCAGUUGUCGGCAGGCAUGCCUGUCGGUGACGCACCUAACGGAUUAAGCAUUCCGCCUGGGGAGUACGGUCGCAAGA
rnacentral:rRNA from 1 species